CCUACGGGAGGCAGCAGUGGGGAAUCUUGCGCAAUGGGCGAAAGCCUGACGCAGCCAUGCCGCGUGAAUGAUGAAGGUCUUAGGAUUGUAAAAUUCUUUCACCGGGGACGAUAAUGACGGUACCCGGAGAAGAAGCCCCGGCUAACUUCGUGCCAGCAGCCGCGGUAAUACGAAGGGGGCUAGCGUUGCUCGGAAUUACUGGGCGUAAAGGGAGCGUAGGCGGAUAGUUUAGUCAGAGGUGAAAGCCCAGGGCUCAACCUUGGAAUUGCCUUUGAUACUGGCUAUCUUGAGUACGGAAGAGGUAUGUGGAACUCCGAGUGUAGAGGUGAAAUUCGUAGAUAUUCGGAAGAACACCAGUGGCGAAGGCGACAUACUGGUCCGUUACUGACGCUGAGGCUCGAAAGCGUGGGGAGCAAACAGGAUUAGAUACCCUGGUAGUCCACGCUGUAAACGAUGAGUGCUAGUUGUCGGCAUGCAUGCAUGUCGGUGACGCAGUUAACGCAUUAAGCACUCCGCCUGGGGAGUACGGUCGCAAGAUAAACUACAACGAAGUAGACGG
rnacentral:rRNA from 1 species